rnacentral:rRNA from 1 species
AUUACCCAAUACUGACACGGGGAGGUAGUGACAAGAAAUAACAAUACAGGGCAAUUGUCUUGUAAUUGGAAUGAUGGUGACGUAAAAUCUCACCAGAGUAACAAUUGGAGGGCAAGUCUGGUGCCAGCAGCCGCGGUAAUUCCAGCUCCAAUAGCGUAUAUUAAACUUGUUGCAGUUAAAAAGCUCGUAGUUGAAUUUCUGCGUUGCCCGACUCGGCUACUUGCCUUGUCUGGUUUCGCUUUUGGGGUUUUCCCCUUUUUACUUUGAGAAAAUUAGAGUGUUUCAAGCAGACUUGUGUCUUGAAUACUUCAGCAUGGAAUAAUAAAGUAGGACUUUGGUUCUAUUUUGUUGGUUUGUGAACCUUAGUAAUGGUUAAUAGGAACGGUUGGGGGCAUUCGUAUUUAA